rnacentral:rRNA from 1 species
GAGGUCAAGCAAAUCCCAUAAAGUUGUUCUCAGUUCGGAUUGUAGUCUGCAACUCGACUACAUGAAGCUGGAAUCGCUAGUAAUCGUAGAUCAGCAUGCUACGGUGAAUACGUUCCCGGGUCUUGUACACACCGCCCGUCACACCACGAGAGUUUGUAACACCCGAAGCCGGUAGAGUAACCUUUUAGGAGCUAGCCGUCGAAGGUGGGACAAAUGAUUGGGGUGAAGUCGUAACAAGGUAGCCGUAUCGGAAGGUGCGGCUGGAUCACCUCCUUU